AGUUUGCUAAGCUGGUAGGAAAAAAGUCUGGAGUUGCUGGUGCUCAUCUUGGCCACCACAGUAGCUACAGCCUGCCUGAGAGUGAAGUCAAUACCAAGGAAAGCAGAGGAAUUUUGGCAACAACUCUGAGCACCUGAAUCCAACUGCGCCUGGAGCUCUAUCUCCUGGACCUUCCCACUAUACUUACAUAAUGAGGCCUGGUCUGAACAUUCCUGAGGGAAGAAAACAAAAGAACUUUUCUUUGGUCUUUGCAUUAUCUAGGGGUGGAAGAAAAGACUGCGAAGAUAACUUUGAUGUUCUGAGGAGGAUGGGAGAUGAUUUGGAAGGAAGUCAAAGAGAAGCAAAGAACUCAAUCAGCUCUGUUGCCUACCAGCUAGAAGAAAUGCCUUCCAGUUCCUCUCACCUGAUGCUCCUUCAAACAUUUCAGCCUCUCUUGUGGUUUUCAAUCCUGGAUGCACACUAAAAUUGAUGGGGAGCUUU